rnacentral:lncRNA from 1 species
AGUUUAACAAGAAGCAAGAGAGAGCUCGCGGAUCAAAGCAGCAGAUUUCUCUACAAAUUCAAGAACAAGCUCAAGAUUUCAAGAUAAAGAGUUCAAAGUUCAAGAACAAGUUCAAGAUUCAAGAUCAAGACUACAAGAUUCAAGAACAAGCUCAACGACCCUUGAAUUCAAGUACAAGUCGAGAUCAAGUUCAUCAAGUCUUCAAAUCAAGUUCAAGUUCAAGAUCAAGACCGCAAGAUUCAAGAACAAGCUACCAAGCCCUUGGAUUCAAGCACAAGUCAAGAUCAAAUCCGUCAAGUUCAAGUUAAAGUUCAAGAUCAAGCUCGAAGCCCUUGGAUUUAUAAUUGAAAAGGCGAAUCAGAGGAAUCAUAGAGAUUGUAACACUCACUUAUUGAAAUCAAUAAAUUGAUUGUUGCAGUAUUUUUCUUGUCUCGAUUAUUUAUUUUUGGUCUCGAGAAUUUUAUUGUCAAACAAAUUCUGGGAUAUUUAUAGAUCAAAACCCUUCCUUGUUAAUAAUUAAAUACAUCAAGAAGACAAAACCUCCCUUCCUGGAGAUCAAAUCCAAAUGUUUCUAUGUUUGAGAAAUACGCCACUAACGGUUCUUGAAUUACGGAGAAAUUCAUAUCCAAAUCUUCAUACAUUCAAGAAAAAUGCCACUGUCGGCCCUCGAAUUAUGGAGAAAAUCAAGAGAGAAGAAUCAAGGAAGGAACAGAUUUAUAACCACAAUUGUUUAUCAAUAAAAAAAUUCUUGUUUCUUCAUACUUUUGUUUGUGGUUAAAAUUUAUUUUUCAUGAAUUUAAAUUAUAUUGUAAACAAAUUGGCAUGCCCAGUGGGACUAAAUCUGCCCUUCAUCUCUUCUAUCAUAAAUCAGAUCUACAAAUUUGUAGCCUACUGCAUAAAGAUGGAAGCUUUAUUGGUACUUCAAGACUCGUCAUCAAAUCUACACUUUGAUAAGCCUUGAAGUAGGGGGCAUUUGUAGACAUCUAAAAUUUGUGGACUCUUCAAUAAGAAUCCAAAUUCUGUUAGAGUUCAAGAAGGCUACUUUACCCUAAAUCUUGCCUAUUUAAUAGGUAACAUGUUCCCUAAAACUGGCAUCUUGAAUAUCCCAUAAGCUGAUGGGUAUUCGUAAAAAGAUCAGCAUCUCCAGUAUCCCACAAAUUCAUGGGAUAUUCACAAAGAGAUCAAAGAUCUGAAAACUCCCAACCAAAGAGAUCAAAGAUCUGAAAAGUCUUAAUAAAUUCAUGGGAUAUUCAUAAAGAUCAAAACUCUCUCUUCUUGAUAAUCAAAUACAUCAAGAAGACAAACCCUCCUUUCAUAGAGAUCAAAUCCAAAUGUUCCUACGUUCGAGAAAUACACCACUAAUGGCUCUCGAAUUACGAAGAAAUUCAUAUCCAAAUCUUCAUACAUUCAAGAAAUAUACUACUGACGGCCCUCGAAUUAUGGAGAAAAUCAAAAAAGAAGAAUCAAGGGAGGAACAAGUUUAACAAGAAGCAAAAGAGAGCUCGUGGAUCAAAGCAGCAGAUUUCUCUACAAAUUCAAGAACAAGCUCAAGAUUUCAAGAUCAAGAGUUCAAGGUUCAAGAACAAGUUCAAGAUUCAAGAUCAUGACUACAAGAUUCAAGAACAAGCUCAACGACCCUUGAAUUCAAGUACAAGUCGAGAUCAAGUUCAUCAAGUCUUCAAAUCAAGUUCAAUUUCAAGAUCAAGACCACAAGAUUCAAGAACAAGCUACCAAGCCCUUAGAUUCAAGCACAAGUAAAGAUCAAAUCCAUCAAGUUCAAGUUAAAG